rfam:Echinostoma caproni strain Egypt genome assembly, scaffold: ECPE_scaffold0007977
GGCCUCGUAGCUCAGCUGGUAGAGCAUACGCGUACAAAGCGUAGGCGGCGUCCAUGCGUGGGUUCGAAUCCCACCGAGGUUA